ACAAUCAGUAUGUUCAUUAUUUUGAAUUGUCUAAAUGGCAGAAAUGUUUCUUUUUGUAUUUAGGGCUUGUCUGAGUCUCCAGACCUUGAGUUUGAAUAUGCUAAUACAGAUAAAUGGGCUGCAGAGCUGUCGGAGCUGUACAGUUAUACUGAAGGGCCAGAGUUCUCCCUCAAUAGAAAAUGUUUUGAGGAGGAAUUCAGAACACAUGUGUGUGAUAAGAAGUGGACAGAGCUUGAUGCACCUCAUCACAGGGCCCAUGCCAUGCGGAUGCUGGAUGGACUGGAGGUGACUGCUCGCGAGAAAAGGCUAAAGGUUGCGAGAGCCAUUCUGUACAUGGUGCAAGGAACCUUCGGCGAGUGUAGUUCUGAGGUCGAAGUGCAGCAUUGGAUGAGAUACAACACCUUCCUGCUGCUGGAAGCUGGAACUUUUUCUGCUCUGGUGGAACUGCUCAACAUGGAAAUUGAUAACAGUGCCGCCUGUAGCAGUGCUGUCAGAAAACCAGCCAUCUCUCUUGCUGAUAGCACAGAUCUCAGGGUGCUGCUCAACAUCAUGUACCUGAUGGUAGAAACCAUCCAGCAGGACGACCCAGCUGACAUGGCCGAAUGGAGAGUUAUCAGGGAAACCUUUCGAGCGGAACUGGGUUCUCCUCUAUACAACAAUGAGCCUAUCGCAGUGAUGCUCUUCGGGAUGGUUACCAAGUUCUGCAGUGGCCAUGCGCCUCACUUCCCUAUGAAGAAAGUCUUACUGCUGUUGUGGAAGAGCAUACUGUUCACACUCGGAGGGUUUGAGCAGCUCCAAACCAUAAAGGUCCAUAAGCGUGAGAAGCUGGGUCUUCCCCCUCUGCCAGAAGACAGUAUUCGGGUUGUACGCAGUAUGAGGGCCGCUUCCCCUCCCGCCUCCGCCUCUGAUCUCAUAGAGCAGCAACAAAAACGGGCGCGGCGUGAACAUAAGGCACUGAUUAAACAGGACAAUCUUGAUGCAUUCAACGAAAAAGACCCUUACAAGACCGAUGAUCCCCGAGAGGAUGAGGAUGACAACGACGACAAUGACAAUUCAAUCGAGGCCGAGACUUUCCCCUUGGAAAGGGACGAGGUGAUGCCUCCACCUAUUCCUCAUCCUCCAUCAGAGAGGGUGUCCUUCCCCAAAGGGUUGCCGUGGGCCCCCAAAGUCAGGGAGAAGGACAUUGAAAAUUUCCUGGAGUCAAGUAGAAGCAAGUUUAUAGGUUACACACUUGGAUGUGACACAGACACGGUUGUUGGCCUACCUCGACCUAUUCAUGAGAGCAUCAAGACACUAAAGCAGCAUAAAUACGUCUCGAUAGCCGAGAUUCAGAUCGCAAGAGAGGAAGAGUUUCAGAAAACCCCUCUAUCAGGGGGAGAAGAAGAAGUGGAGAUGUGUGCCACUGAGCUGCUCUAUCAGGGAAUCCUACCCACAUUACCUCAGUACAUGAUCGCUCUGUUAAAGAUUCUUCUUGCGGCAGCUCCCACCUCCAAAGCCAAAACGGAUUCAAUCAACAUCCUGGCAGACGUGCUGCCGGAAGAGAUGCCGACCACUGUGUUACAGAGCAUGAAACUCGGUGUUGACGUCAAUCGACACAAAGAGAUCAUUGUGAAGGCCAUCUCCGCCAUCCUGCUGCUGCUCCUCAAACACUUCAAACUUAACCACAUCUACCAGUUUGAGUACAUGGCUCAACACCUGGUGUUUGCCAACUGCAUCCCCCUCAUUUUGAAGUUCUUCAAUCAGAACAUAAUGUCUUACAUCACGGCUAAGAACAGCAUCUCAGUGCUGGACUUUCCAUACUGCGUGGUGCAUGAGCUUCCUGAAUUAACAGCAGAGAGUCUGGAAGCGGGAGACAACAACCAGUUUUGCUGGCGAAACCUGUUUUCCUGCAUUAACCUGCUGAGAAUCCUCAAUAAACUGACCAAGUGGAAGCACUCCAGAACGAUGAUGCUGGUAGUGUUCAAGUCCGCUCCAAUCCUGAAGAGGGCGCUAAAGGUGAAACAAGCAAUGAUGCAGCUUUACGUCCUCAAGCUCCUCAAAGUGCAGACCAAAUAUCUUGGGCGUCAGUGGCGGAAGAGCAACAUGAAGACUAUGUCGGCCAUUUACCAGAAGGUCCGACAUCGGCUCAAUGACGACUGGGCUUACGGAAACGAUCUGGAUGCCCGUCCCUGGGAUUUUCAGGCCGAGGAAUGUGCCCUGCGUGCCAACAUCGAACGCUUUAACAGUCGCCGCUAUGACAAAAAUCAGAGCAACCCGGACUUCCUUCCAGUGGACAACUGCCUGCAAAGCGUUCUGGGGCAGCGGGUUGACCUGCCCGAAGACUUCCAAAUGAAUUACGACCUCUGGCUGGAACGAGAGGUCUUCUCCAAACCAAUUUCAUGGGAGGAGCUGCUGCAGUAAGAAAUGGUCAACAUCCUUGAUCUUUUAUCAUGGAUCAGACUCUUUUUGAGUGUGGCGUUCAGUUCUUGCAUACCACCUAUUGCCUCUGGGACAAAGCGGCACUCAUACACCCAAAGGAUGUAACUAAUGCAGCCUCAGUUGCUUUGUUUUGCAGAAACAUGUCAUUUUCAUUUAAUGGCUAUAUACAGUAGAAAAUGCAUGUUAUUGCUUUUAGGUUAGUUGCAUCACUUAAAGAAACAAAAAAUAUAUUUAAAAAAAUCUCCUGGUCUACAAUUUUUUUUCCUGUAUCUACUUGCGAUCUGAUUUUGUUAUUUUAUUAGAAAUGGAAAAAUGGAACAUCAUGGUUCUAUUUUACUUCACAUAAACCUCAAUAUUCUAAAAUCCUACUGUCAAUCUUGCUGAAUUUUCUUACUAUUAAUAAACCAACAAAUAUUUACAUAAUA